AGCAGCCGCGGUAAUUCCAGCUCCAAUAGCGUAUAUUAAAGUUGUUGCAGUUAAAAGCUCGUAGUUGAAUUUCGGGAUCAAUUUAUCGGUCGUGCCAAUGGUAUGAACUGGUACAAUUGGUUUCUCCCUUCUGACGAAGCAUGAUGCCAUUAAUUUGGUGUCGUGGGGAAUCAGGACUGUUACUUUGAAAAAUUGAGUGUUUAAAGCAAGCAUUAGCUUGAAUACAUUAGCAUGGAAUAAUGAAAUAGGACGUUUGAUCCUAUUUCGUUGGUUUCUAGGAUCGACGUAAUGAUUAAUAGGGAUAGUUGGGGGCAUUAGUAUUCAAUUGUCAGAGGUGAAAUUCUUGGAUUUAUUGAAGACUAACUACUGCGAAAGCAUUUGCCAAGGAUGUUUUCAUUAAUCAAGAACGAAAGUUAGGGGAUCGAAGACGAUCAGAUACCGUCGUAGUCUUAACCAUAAACUAUGCCGACUAGGGAUCGGGAUGAUUGUUAAUUUUUAAUGACUCAUUCC
rnacentral:misc_RNA from 1 species